CGGGAUAAGCUCAAAUUUAAAAUCUGGUGACCUUUGGCCGCCCGAGUUGUAGUCUGGAGAAGUGCUUUCCGCGCUGGACCGUGUACAAGUCUCUUGGAACAGAGCGUCAUAGAGGGUGAGAAUCCCGUCUUUGACACGGACUACCAGUGCUUUGUGAUGCGCUCUCAAA
rnacentral:rRNA from 1 species